UACGUAGGGUGCAGGCGUUGUCCGGAAUUAUUGGGCGUAAAGAGCUCGUAGGCGGUCUGUCGCGUCGGCUGUGAAAUCCCGAGGCUCAACCUCGGGUCUGCAGUCGAUACGGGCAAACUAGAGUAUUGCAGGGGAGACUGGAAUUCCUGGUGCAGCGGUGAAAUGCGCAGAUAUCAGGAGGAACACCGGUGGCGAAGGCGGGUCUCUGGGCAAUAACUGACGCUGAGGAGCGAAAGCGUGGGGAGCGAACAGG
rnacentral:rRNA from 1 species